UACGUAGGGGGCAAGCGUUGUCCGGAUUCAUUGGGCGUAAAGAGCGUGUAGGCGGCCAGGUAGGUCGGUUGUGAAAACUGGAGGCUCAACCUUCAGAGGUCGACCGAAACCAUCUGGCUAGAGUCCGGGAGAGGAGAGUGGAAUUCCUGGUGUAGCGGUGAAAUGCGCAGAUAUCGGGAGGAACACCAAUGGCGAAGGCAGCUCGCUGGGACGUGACUGACGCUGAGACGCGAAAGCGUGGGGAGCAAACAGG
rnacentral:rRNA from 1 species